UUGCUUGUAGGUUUGGAUCAUUUAUCCAAAAGACGUCAUUUGUGAAUGCCAUUUAUCUUCAAUGACUUGGUGCCAGACAACUUUUUUUAUUAGUGCCAAACAAAUUUGUUUUCCAAGCAACUUCAAUGACUUGGUUCCACGCUAUCAAGCAAUUCACAACUGUGAAGCACAAAAAAAAUUUGACAACUUUGAAAGUUUGAAUGCACCAAAAAGUAAGUCACAACUCUGAAGGAAAAUUUUUAAAGGUCACUACGAAAGCAAAACACUCUAUUCCUUAUGGGCUUUGAAAGGACCUUUGUGACUUUUAUUGUUUCACUUAGGAUACAUCAUCCUCUAAAAGAAGUUUGUUGCAGGUGUUGAGAAACAGCAAAUAGCCCUCUCCAAAACAUCUUCUGGAUUCGGUCAAUGGUUAGUCCAUCAACUGCCGAUGCUGUUAUUUUAUAGCGGACUCAAAACCUUAAAAAAAGAUGAUUUAUUUUGGCCAGUCAAAAAAGAUCAUAGUUGGAAAUUUUGAUACAAAUAUAGAGAAAAUAAAAAAGAUGGAUAUAAGAAUACCUAUCGAAUGAACGAUGAAAAGGAAAAUAAUACCAAACCUGCAUC
rnacentral:lncRNA from 1 species